rnacentral:rRNA from 1 species
UACGGAGGGUGCAACCGUUGCUCGGAAUCAUUGGGCGUAAAGCGCACGUAGGCGGUUCGGUAAGUCGGGUGUGAAAGCCCUCGGCUCAACUGAGGAAGUGCAUUCGAAACUACCGGACUUGAGUAUGGAAGAGGGUCGCGGAAUUCCCGGUGUAGAGGUGAAAUUCGUAGAUAUCGGGAGGAACACCAGUGGCGAAGGCGGCGACCUGGGCCAAUACUGACGCUGAGGUGCGAAAGCGUGGGGAGCAAACAGG